rnacentral:lncRNA from 1 species
CAACCUCUGCCUCCUGGGUUCAAGCAAUUCUCCUGUCUCAGCCUCCCGAGUAGCUGGGACUACAGGCGCCCGCUGCCAAACUCCUGACCUCAGGUGAUCCAUCUGCCUCAGCUUCCCAAAGUGCUGGGAUUACAGGCGUGAGCCACCGCACCCGGCCGUGAGUUUAUCUUUGCUAAUUUAUCAUUCGCAGUUUAACCCUAAAGCCCUUGUAAUGGUUCUCAUCUCCAGGUUGAACAGUGAUGGUUCUCAUCUCUAGGUUGAACGUUGAUCACCCGAGAGACUUGGCUUCUCUUCAGCCUUAGCUGUGUAAGGAUAAAGGACGUCCUCAGGCCUGGGAUCAUGUGUGUGCCUUCAGUUGGGAGCCAGCUGGUUCUUGUGUAGGCCGGGGCUAGAGACAUCUGGCUGGAGGUCAUGGCUGGCCCAGAGGGUGUGGGUGGACAGUCGUUGAGGCCAGCGGGCGGGGAGGAGGGCGCUGUCAUGUGGGCUGAGGAGGCUGCUGCAGAGCAGCUGUCCCUGGAUGUUCCUUGUGAGAGGGGAGCCCUGGAGGGUCCCGGCCUGUCUUGUGGUACCGAUGGCAGGGCCUGUGGUGGUGGUCAGUCACUGACCCACAGCUCUGCCCACCUGCACAUGGGGGCCUGUGCUAGGCCUUGUGGUCUGCCUGCCCUGCUCCUGACGAGUGAGAAUGGCUGGGGUGGGAGAUCCCUGCCUGCACGUGGGGCGGUCCUGGUAGACCAGAAUGUGGGUGUGGGUCCCCCUUCCCUGUGGUUCUGGGGACCUUGAGGACAUGGUCAAUCCCGGGCAAGGGACCUGCCACCCCUGUAUGGGGUCAGGAACUGCUGGUUGGUCUCUGCUGGGCAGGCAACCUGGGGUCCAGCUCAAAUCGUUGGAAUGUGGAAGUCCUUCCUCUCGCCCCGUCCUGAGGAGCAGCUGCAGGAGCUUCAUGAGUGUUUUCAUUGGAACUUGUGGAGGAGUUUCCUUUGAUCCCUCGUGGAGAGACGGAAGCAUGAGGGAGCCCUCAACAUUUAUUCUGAAGAUGAAGACAGUCCUGCAGCUUUUUGGAGUUUGUGAGCCAGCCCGGCCCUGUACAGAUGUGGAAACCGAGGCCCAGGAAGUUUCCUGCAAAGAUGAGUUGUGCCUCAGAGGUUGCUCAUGUUCUGAGGUGCCUCUUCACCACUGCCUGUCAGGCUGCUAACCAGAGUGCCCCAGACCACAGCAGAAGCGACAGCAGCCAAGGAUCGGGGGAGCCCACCCUGCUCCUGGGUAUCUUUACGGCAGGCAGCAGAGUAACGGCCUCAGACUUACCUCUUCAGCCAGAGACCCCUCAGCCCAGGAGGAGUGAGGCCGGGCCAGCAGCGGGGGCCCGGGAAGCCCCAUGUCUUGGGACCUGCUGGGGCAGGGCCCCCUGGAUGUCAGGCUGCAGGUCCGGCAGCUGGGGAGGGGAUGAGGGCCUCCCACCACCUCUGCCCAUCAGCCAGAUCCCUGGGAGAGGCAGCACUUGCUGGCCACAGAGUCGGCCCCAGUCUCACCUGGCUCCCCUCCCCCACCAGCUGGGCCCUGCACCGCCCCAGCCCACGCGGCGCCUCACCCCUCCUUGACAGAACAGUAUCUCUGGGACGGACAAGUAAAUCCAAGACCCACAGUAGCCCUGGAUCCCCUGGGAGAGGUGGCUGCUCAGCUCCAGGGCCAGGUUAAUUGAAGUGAUAGGGAGUGGAGAGAGGGAGGGGGCAGGGCUGGGAUUGCGUGGCCUCUCCUUCCCUCUCCUGCUCCCUCCCUCAGCUUGGAGGAGCCAACUUCAAAAGCCUCCGCCUGGCCUGCCCCUCUGCAGUCCUCCAGGCAGCCUGUCCAGGGAAGCGGUUGGCUGGUGUUGGACCUGGUGCGGCAGUGCACACCCUGCCCAAGGACCCCAGGAUCAUGUGCGUGGCCUGCUGGCGGGAGUGAGGGAGGGCAAGACCCUGAAAGGCCCAUGGUGAGCAGCUGUGGGCCUCCUCUAGGGAGGGGGCUCACUUGGGUGGAGGGGCUGGGGGUACACACAGCUCAGGAGACACUGCUUGUUCCCCUGAGCCCCACCAGGAAAUCUCCGGUUGGCUCUGGUCACUGCGUCCCUGUGGGUGGCACUGGGUGCAUGUGCCCUGGCUUCUGGCAGUUGGGGGAGGGGGGCUCCUGGG